CUGCUUGCUUCUUCAGCAGAUACAAUAAAAUUGGACCGAUGCAGAGCUUAGCCUGGGCCCCACGCAAGGAUGACACACAAAGUCAUGAGCAUUCCAUAUUUAA